CGCCAUUUUAAAUCCAGCUCCAUACAACGCUCCGCCGCCGCUGCUGCCACGACCCGGACGGCGCGCCAGCACCCCACGGCCGACAACUCCGCCACCAUGGAGGACGUGAACGAGUACAGCAACAUAGAGGAAUUCGCAGAGGGAUCCAAGAUCAACGCGAGCAAGAAUCAGCAGGAUGACGGUAAAAUGUUUAUUGGAGGCUUGAGCUGGGAUACGAGCGAGAAAGAUCUGACUGAAUAUUUGUCUCGAUUUGGGGAAGUUGUAGACUGUACAAUAAAAACAGAUCCAGUGACUGGAAGAUCAAGAGGAUUUGGAUUUGUGCUUUUCCCCAAAGAUGCUGCUAGUGUUGAUAAGGUUUUGGAACUGAAAGAACACAAAUUGGAUGGCAAAUUGAUAGACCCCAAAAGGGCCAAAGCUUUAAAAGGGAAAGAACCCCCCAAAAAGGUUUUUGUGGGUGGAUUGAGCCCAGAUACUUCUGAAGAACAAAUUAAAGAAUAUUUUGGAGCCUUUGGAGAGAUUGAAAAUAUUGAACUUCCCAUGGAUACAAAAACAAAUGAAAGAAGAGGAUUUUGUUUCAUUACAUAUACAGACGAAGAGCCAGUAAAGAAAUUGUUAGAAAGCAGAUAUCAUCAAAUUGGUUCUGGGAAGUGUGAAAUCAAAGUUGCACAACCCAAAAAGGUAUACAGGCAGCAACAGCAACAACAAAAAGGAGGAAGAGGUGCUGCAGCUGGUGGACAAGGUGGUACUAGGGGUCGUGGACGAGGUCAGGGCCAAAACUGGAACCAAGGAUUUAAUAACUGUUAUGAUCAAGGAUAUGGAAAUUACAAUAGUGCCUAUGGUGGUGAUCAAAACUAUAGUGGCUAUGGCGGCUAUGAUUAUACCGGGUAUAACUAUGGGAACUAUGGAUAUGGACAGGGAUGUGCAGACUACAGUGGGCAACAGAGCGCUUACGGCAAGGCGUCUCGAGGGGGUGGCAAUCACCAAAACAAUUACCAGCCAUACUAAAGGAGGAUGUUGGAGAAGACAGCGGGAACUUCAUUGCAGGCCGUGUGUCACCCUGACCACGUCUAUCUCUGGGGGUCGCACGUUGCGGGCAGAGCGCAAGGCAUACACCAGAAAACGCUGUCCUGUGGAGGAGAUUGCUAAAGUUAACCCAUCUUGCAGGACGACAUUGAAGAUUGGUCUUCUGUUGAUCUAAGAUGAUUAUUUUGUAAAAGACUUUCUAGUGUACAAGACACAACUGUCCAACUGUAUAUAGCCACCAAUUAGUUUUCUUUGUUUUUACUUUGUCUUUUGCUAUCUGUGUUAUGACUCGAUGUGGAUUUGUGUUUAUACAAAUUUUAUUUGUAUGAUUCCAUGUUAAACCUCAAAUAAAUGCUUCCUUAUGUGAUUGUUAAAAAAAA